AGUGGCGGACGGGUGAGUAACGCGUGAGGAACCUGCCUUCAGAGGGGGACAACAGUUGGAAACGACUGCUAAUACCGCAUGACACAUUGGGGUCGCAUGGCCCUGAUGUCAAAGAUUUAUCGCUGAAAGAUGGCCUCGCGUCUGAUUAGCUAGUUGGUGAGGUAACGGCCCACCAAGGCGACGAUCAGUAGCCGGACUGAGAGGUUGAACGGCCACAUUGGGACUGAGAUACGGCCCAGACUCCUACGGGAGGCAGCAGUGGGGAAUAUUGGGCAAUGGGCGCAAGCCUGACCCAGCAACGCCGCGUGAAGGAAGAAGGCUUUCGGGUUGUAAACUUCUUUUGUCAGGGACGAGUAGAAGACGGUACCUGACGAAUAAGCCACGGCUAACUACGUGCCAGCAGCCGCGGUAAUACGUAGGUGGCAAGCGUUGUCCGGAUUUACUGGGUGUAAAGGGCGUGUAGCCGGGAGGGCAAGUCAGAUGUGAAGUCCACGGGCUUAACUCGUGAACUACAUUUGAAACUGUUCUUCUUGAGUAUCGGAGAGGCAAUCGGAAUUCCUAGUGUAGCGGUGAAAUGCGUAGAUAUUAGGAGGAACACCAGUGGCGAAGGCGGAUUGCUGGACGACAACUGACGGUGA
rnacentral:rRNA from 1 species